rnacentral:misc_RNA from 1 species
AGCCUUCAUGUUGACAAUCCUUUCAAGUUUUCAGAGCUCAAGAUAGUUGCUGCUUCAUAUUUGUAAUCCUUGGUAAGAUCAGAGAUUCAUGUUCUUCUCAAAAAUUCAAUAAAAAAGAAUACACAUUUAUUUCAACCGUUGUUGCUUUUCUUUCUCUAAAUGUUCCUGUCUGUUGCAGGAUUGCGAAGUUUGCAAUUUUAUUUGGUCAACAAUGACUGAGGAGAAAAUUUAUGUUAUCCCAGAACAUGAUCCUACUCCAAUGAUCCCUGCGAGUGAUUCUUUACUGGUGAUUCAGGAGAGUGAUUCUAUCUCACUGAUCCCAGAGACCUAUUCUGCAUCUGUGGUUCCUGAAAGUGAUACCCCAGUUGUCUUGGAGGGUACUGAGCCCAAAGACGGUCAUGUCCAAAGGUACUCUGCUGGGAAUAUUGGUAUUCCCUACAAAAGUGUAAAGAUUCUUUCCCGUUAUCUUGCAGCUUCAACAGGUUCCUGCCAUGAUUAUUGUAAAUAUGGACAAAGACAAGACCUUGAGACGAAGACAACAAGCAAUUCUAUAUUGGAAACAAUAAUGGAAAGGCAAGGUGAAGGACAGGACAUGGGAAAGGUUCUAACUUCAGGAGAGAGAAAGAAGAAAUUAGCAGUCAAUUAUGUGUCUUCUCGUGGUUCCAGGAUCCAGAAUCCUGAUAUUCCUGUUAUCAGCAGGAAAGAAGUUUCUUCGUCAGGUAAGAAAGACACUGUCCUGUUAAAACAGCGUUCACUACCUGUCAAGGAAGUAGAUACAAGGUCAAGGCCUGUGCUACUAAAAUCACCUAGUCUCCCAAUAAAAGAGCACUUAAGCAGUAAAGAAUAUGGUGAAAUUCAAGAAAACAAAUCAUCGACUAAGAAAGAAACUGUCCUGUUAAAAAAGCGUUCACUAUCUGUCAAGGAAGUAGAUGCAAGGUUAAGGCCUAUGCUACCAAAAUCACCUAGUCUCCGAAUAAAAGAGCAUUUAAGUGGUAAAGAAUAUGGUGAAAUCCAAGAAAACAAAGAAAUGGGUACUUCUUUGGUGACUUCAUAUGGAGCUUCAAGUAGUACAGAACAAACAGAACUCGGAAGAGCUAAUGAAAUGAAGAACUCCGUAUUGGAUGGGAAAAAGGUUUUGGCACAAGCAACUGCUUCUUCUUUGUAUGCCUUGCAUUCUGUUAAGAAGGUUUUCACUCGACCAAUUGCUUCUUUGUCUCCCAAACGUUCUGAAAAGAGAGUUUCAAAUAUGAAUACUGAAAAAUUCAAGAGCCUGAAAGGAGUUUCUCAUUUGAAGGAUCGGAGUAAUGUUGGAAAAGCUGAAUCUGAGCAACCCAGCAAUGAGUCUGUGCCUGAGAAGACUUCGCAUGUAACUGAAUUGAAUACUGAGAAUAAAGCACUGACUCAACACAGUGAUCGUUCUCCAUCACUGUCCUCAUUCCAUAGGGACAAAAACUUGAAACAUGAUCAGAAAAGAAUUUCCCCAGUUCAAUUGUCUCUACCUUUUGCUGGGAAGAUUUUGAGACGCACUCAGUGUGGAAUCCAUGUCAGUCGAUCGCCUAAAUUUUCUGAGAGCAAAAGCUUGAGACUCAAUAAACGGGGAAUUCAUGUUGCUGGUUCAUCCAUUUCUUCUUUGUCAUCCUCCAAGUCUAACCAUGAUGGUACCUUCUCUGAAGAUCCUGAAACUAGCAUCGAUAAUAUAGUGAAUGCAAAAGUGGAACCGAGGAACAAACCUAGAAAUCGUGGAGUAGUUAAAACAAAAGAUACAGAUUCCCCAGCCAGAAAGCUAACUUUUAGGAAAGGAAAGGUACUUGAGCUUCCUCCUGUAAUUAGUUCUCCAAGGAGACUCAAAUUUAGGCGAAGAAACCUCAUUGAUAGCCAAAUUGGGAAAGUUGAGGCUACAGAAAGUACCAUUAAGAACACAGAAAUUUGUGUUGAUGAAGGCGACCCUAAUGUUGGAAAAUCGAAAAGCAAGAAAGUUGUUUUAAAACGCAAAGAUGUUAAAGGACAGAAAGUUGAGCAGAAUUUGUUGAAUGACAUGAUUGAGGAGACGGCAAAUAAGCUUGCUAAGAGCAGGAAGAGUAAGGUCAAGGCAUUGGUUGCUGCUUUUGAAACUGUGAUCUCUCUUCAAGAUCCCAGACUAUCAUCAACAGUUGGUGUAUGUUGAGUUACUGAGGUCUGUACUUGUAUUCAAUCAUAUACUAAUUCUAUAGAGGGAAAGAAAAGGGAACAUUGGAGUGGACAUGAAUGCAAA